rnacentral:lncRNA from 1 species
CAGCCGCCCACCCCUUUCCUCUCUUGGACAAAAUUCCAACUCACUUUCACUAUUUUCGUCAAAUUCUUCAUUCUCUCUAUUGCAUAUUCAAUGAAAAGCCGAAAACUUUUGUAUCAAAGUUGACCAAAUCGCUAGUUCUCUGAAGCAAGAGGACGAUUUUGUUGAUCUUCUUUCUGUCACAAUUUGGAUGAAUCUUGAACGAGCAAUUUUGAAUUUCAAAUGGAUCUUUCAAUUCCCGCUUCCAAAACCCUAGUUUUCUCCUAUAAAUACUCCUCAACUCUCCAGCCGAAAGAUCAUCUGGGAAUCCUCAAAAAAUAGUUAGAACACGGCAAAAUCGAGUCAACAAGUAAUUCUCUUCUUUAAUCUGUCUCUAUUUAGUUCGCUAAAACAAAGUUUCAAUCUUGUUACGUGGAGGGAGUAGAUCUGAAAUCUCAAAGUUCUAGUUCACUGCCUCUAAAAAGGUCAAUAAUUUUAAAAUCUGUUCUUCCUACUUUUCUUUCUUUAUAUCACGAGUAAGUGUUUGGUUUAUGUCUAAGAUGUAUGAUUUAGUUUGUUUCUCUACAUAGAAAUUAUAUUGUAGAUUCUUCAUUUGGAUUGUUUUCGAAAUUAUAAAAAAAGAAAAUGGUUAAGUUUAAAUGUGUUUUUUGUAUUAUUAAGAUCUUGAUUUGAAUGUGUAUUUUGCAAAAGUUAUAUAUUAAGAUUUUAUUUAGAAAUCAUGUUUUAGGAAUGGUUCUCUGAUUUAUUACAUAAAUAUGGUAGGAUGAAAAUGUACUCUUUCUGUGUUUAAGAUAUGGUGUAUAAAACACUAAUAUAGAUGUACUUUUGAAAGCAUGCUUAUUAGGAUUGUGAAUCUAAUUAUUUUGUUGAAGACACCUUGAAUCUAAUACCUGUCAUAGGGAAUAUUUUUAUUUUUUUAACACUAUUUAUUGGUAAAAUCAUGUCCAUUUGAGUAAAAUAUAUGUCCAAAUUGGUGAUAUAUGACUGUGUUCUUCUGUGUUUAUACAUUGUCGGAUAUCAUGCAUGCCCAUGACUCUUUUAUGUAUCUCUAUGCUAGAUAUAUUCUUUCUGCAUAGUGAAUGAAUUUAAAAUCAUGGUUUAAGCCUAUGUUAUGUUAGAGACAGUGCACUUAGGAUAUCAGUUAGCCAGUGACGAAAUGGAUUGGAAAUUUACCAUAUCUACUUUAUGAAAAACAAGUAUGUCUUCACUGAUAUGUACAACAUAAGUGUUUAAGCAUAAACUUGUUUAAUAAUUUAUUGUUUAGAGUAGCAUGUCAUAAAAAUCUGAUUCUCGUCAAUUUUAGUCAUUUAGUUGUAAAGACUUGUAUAUGAAUUUUCUGUUAAAGCUUUCCUUUGAUAUUUGACGGUGAAAGAUUGUAUGAAAUCCUUGAAUAGUAAUUUUCCCUUUAUUUCGUAAAAGAAUCUUGGCUCUAUUACCUUACUGAUUGUAUACGCCUAAUAAGUAUUAACUAGGAUAGUCAUCUUUGUUUUAGCCAUUGAAGAGUAGUGUUCUGUCUAAACUUUCUUUGUGUUUUGAUUUUUAUACAUGAUGUUAAGAUUCAGACUUCUCCUUCUAAUCUCUAUUUCCCUUUUUAUCUUGUUUACAUAUACACUUUGGAGCAAUUUUUUGAGUCUCAAUGCGAGACUCGUUGUUGCCAUGAAGUCGUCGCUGCUGCGUUUCCUCUACCAUAUUUCUCCUUCAUAGACCUGAUUAUUCGUGUGGGAUAGACGCAAGAAAAAUGCCAAAGUUAAUUUUGGUCAUCCCUAGAAAGGGGUUGGAUUAUCAUUGUUAUUCGACAUUUUAUUUUCUAUUAACUGCUUUUUAUAUAUUUUGUUUACUAUCACUCUUAGUUAAUUCUUGCAUGAACGUGUAAGGGUAACCAAUACAGUUAAAAUUGAAUUAGUUAUCCCAACAACACCUACCUGUCUAAGUAGUGCUUAUGAAAUUAGUUUAACUGAAUAAUGGUUAAGUCAAUAUGGGUUGAUCCUAGUUUUAGUCCAAUUAGAAUUUUGCCCCUACUGAGUAUUCUUUUUGCAAUACUCAAGCUAACUAUCUUGUAAAUCAAU